GGAAGGGCCAUAGCUGAGUGGUAGUGCAGCUGCUUGGCAUGCAGAAGGUCCCAGGUUCAAUCUCUGCCGUUUCUA